UGGGGAAUAUUGGACAAUGGGCGCAAGCCUGAUCCAGCCAUGCCGCGUGUGUGGAGAAGGCCUUCGGGUUGUAAAGCACUUUUGUACGGGAAGAAAAGCACCCGGUUAAUACCCGGGUGUCAUGACGGUACCGUAAGAAUAAGCACCGGCUAACUUCGUGCCAGCAGCCGCGGUAAUACGAAGGGUGCAAGCGUUACUCGGAAUUACUGGGCGUAAAGCGUGCGUAGGUGGUUUGUUAAGUCUGAUGUGAAAGCCCUGGGCUCAACCUGGGAAUUGCAUUGGAUACUGGCAGUCUAGAGUGCGGUAGAGGGUAGCGGAAUUCCCGGUGUAGCAGUGAAAUGCGUAGAUAUCGGGAGGAACAUCCGUGGCGAAGGCGGCUACCUGGACCAGCACUGACACUGAGGCACGAAAGCGUGGGGAGCAAACAAGGAUUAGAUACCCUGGUAGUCCACGCCCUAAACGA
rnacentral:rRNA from 1 species